rnacentral:rRNA from 1 species
AGCGAACGCUGGCGGCAGGCCUAACACAUGCCAGUCGAACGAACUCUUCGGAGUUAGUGGCGGACGGGUGAGUAACACGUGGGAACGUGCCUUUUGGUUCGGAAUAACUCAGGGAAACUUGUGCUAAUACCGAAUGUGCCCUUCGGGGGAAAGAUUUAUCGCCAUUAGAGCGGCCCGCGUCUGAUUAGCUAGUUGGUGAGGUAACGGCUCACCAAGGCGACGAUCAGUAGCUGGCCUGAGAGGAUGACCAGCCACACUGGGACUGAGACACGGCCCAGACUCCUACGGGAGGCAGCAGUGGGGAAUCUUGCGCAAUGGGCGAAAGCCUGACGCAGCCAUGCCGCGUGAAUGAUGAAGGUCUUAGGAUUGUAAAAUUCUUUCACCGGGGACGAUAAUGACGGUACCCGGAGAAGAAGCCCCGGCUAACUUCGUG